rnacentral:lncRNA from 1 species
CUCGCCCGGCCCCCGCCCGCCGCCGAGCGCGGCGUCGCGAGGAAGGUGUGACUUGCAGAGGAGUUGAUUCCUUCUUAUGUACAUUUACUGGAGAAGUUUACAGCAGGAGACUGGGGUCUGAGACACACGCAUCUUUGUGUGCCCCAAAGAAUAAAGCCCUCAAAGGAUGUGAAGCCUGAACUCACUUCAAAUGCUGGAAAGGCCCUUUCCUUAGCUGAGCUGUGGAGGAACCAGGACUCCUGUGGCACUGCCCUAACGAGGAGGCAGUGCUGCCAGAUUCAGGUCUGCAAGACAGCUUUGAUUCAGCUGAUUUCAGCCAGGCUCACCCCGACUUUGCAGGGCGCUGCGAACCCCAGCCUUCAGGUCGGGUUCAGCAUCCAGCAGUGCCCUGGAAAAGUGGCUGUGAAGUUACUUGCAAGACUGCAUUGAACCCGGGCGAGACACUUCUCAGGGGAGCUGUCCAGCUACAUUCUCUGAGUGAAGAGAUGAAGAUCUCACUAUGUUGCCUGGGCUGGUCUUGAAUUCCUGAGCUCAAGUGAUCCUCCAACCUUGGCCUCCCAAAGUGAUGGAAUUACAGGCGUGAGUCACUGCACCUGGCUGAUACCAUUAUUUUUAAAGUUGGUUUCUUAUAGAUGACAUAAAAUUGGAUCUCCCCUCCCCUACAUUCAAUCUGACCGUUUCUGACUUUGAAUUGAUGUGUUUAAACCACUUACAUUAAUUAUUGAUACAGUUGAAUUUAGGCUACCCUUUUCUUAUUUGUUUUCUGCAUAUCUUCUCUGUUUUUCAUUUUUCUCUUUCCCCCUU